GCUACCACGCGAGUGGAUGCCAAUCCCCAAAACCUCUCUCAGUUCGGACUGGAGUCUGCAACCCGACUCCACGAAGCUGGAUUCGCUAGUAAUCGCGCAUCAGCCACGGCGCGGUGAAUACGUUCCCGGGCCUUGUACACACCGCCCGUCACACCAUGAGAGUUGGGAAUACCCGAAGCCCGUGAGCUAACUUUAUGAGGCAGCAGUCGAAGGUAGAAUCAAUGAUUGGGGUGAAGUCGUAACAAGGUAAC
rnacentral:rRNA from 1 species